UCUCUGCAGCCUUGUCAUUCAGCCCUGGGUGACCUCCCAUCACCUUUGGGCUCAACAAGGCUGCAAAAAACAACUCAAAGAAUGAAAAGGCGCGGCUCCUGCAGGAUUGGGAGUUCUGCGUGCGAUGUUCCUUGGACAGACGCCUGCCUCCCACGGUGGUGUUGGCCGGUCUCUGUGGCCGUCACCUUUCUUGAGGCAGGUAGAGUAAAACCAGGCAGCCAGAUAUUGUUUGGACCAGGGGAAGCUUUGCCUGUCAGACACUGUCCGCUGCCACAAGA
ensembl:scaRNA